rnacentral:rRNA from 1 species
UAGGGAAUCUUCCACAAUGGACGAAAGUCUGAUGGAGCAACGCCGUGUGAGUGAAGAAGGGUUUCGGCUCGUAAAACUCUGUUGUUAAAGAAGAACAUAUCUGAGAGUAACUGUUCAGGUAUUGACGGUAUUUAACCAGAAAGCCACGGCUAACUACGUGCCAC